AGAUGUGGAGUAGUUUGGCUGCGACAUCUGUUGCCUCUUUGUUUCUCUGCGUUGAUGCUAUUGAUCUGAUUGGGGAGGCAGAUGUCCCCCUUCCUCCCUCACUGUUCCCUGUGCACCCCUCCCCCCACCCCGAUGCUGCACAUGUGGAAACCCUGGCAAAUAAACAGGAAGGGAAAGCAGGGUCUUGGGUAAGUUUGUUUAAGGAAAGAGCAGAGGGGAUGGGAAGAGUGGGGCUUGGGACCACAUUUUAGGGAAUGUCAAGAUUGAAUGACU
ensembl:misc_RNA 7SK 7SK RNA